UCUUAUGUUGAUUUCCUUCUUCUUCUUCUGCCUUCUUACGAAUUUUGCUUAGAACAAAGAAGAUAAAGAGAUAGGUUGUUAGAAAGAAGAGAGACACAAAGACAAUGUCUGAUUAUUUUCUAAAGAAGC
rnacentral:sRNA from 1 species